CUGCAUUGAACUGUUGUCCAUUAGGACCAUUCUUGACUCGACUCGACCAUUCACGGUUAGUUGCACGUUGAGGACCAGAGGCAGAGGAGUCUCCAUAGGAUGGGUAUUAGACCGUCUCUGAUCCCAGUUUCAUUCUAGAGCAGCAGACUCAACCCUCGAGCACCUCAAGAAGAGGGUCCUGACGUGGCAGAUCCUUCCAGAACCCAAGUCCCUCCACCUCUCCAAUCAUAUAAAAUUUUACAGCUCUAAAUAUCCAACGAGUGGCGGCGAUUGCAGCAGCAAUUACACAUUAGCAUAGCAUCGGCGAUGGGGAUAAUAAGGAGCUGUUUCUCCCUCAUAGUAGGCACUGUGUGCGGGGUUUACAUUGCUCAAAACUAUGACGUUCCCAACAUCAAGAAGCUCGCCACCUCUGGCCUCUUCAUGGCCAAGCUCAUUGAAGAGAAGUACCGCAAGCCCAAGAGCAAGAAAGACGACGAUUAGCUCCGUAAUUAUCAACAGACAAAAGAAGUCUAAAUGCAAUAAGACUGUGGAGUUGCAGUCUCACUAACAACUUAUAUGAUUAUAUCUGGUGCCUACAAGUGAGAAAUGUUGCUAGUUCAUCUGCUACUGGUACAGAAGCUGUGUGUUUAUUGCUGCAUGGUAAUCAGAUGAUGUCAGUUGGAUGACUCUGUCAAUUGUCAUUUUUUUGAGUUUCUAUAGAUGAUAAUAUGGUCAUUGGUCACAAGCAGGCCUUUGAAUGCACGAAAGGGGCAACUUGCUAGGGAAGCUGGCACCAUUAUAAGAUUUACUGUCAAAAUGAUCAACAGUCGAAAGAUCCAGAAAAGAAAUAAUAUGAUCAGAUGUAGGUAGCAAGGCGGCAAACCGUCAAUGAAACUCUACUUUGAGAAUUUUGUGUAGCAUAAGACGGCUACCAUAUCAACCUCACAACUUGCUGGCAGCCACCGUAAUUGUGACAAUGGGUAUACUUCCCGCGGUUAAGUUCCUAUCAAAAUUUUAGUUUUGUUGUUGUGGGUCGUGUGUGGAUCAAGUUCUUUGAUCUGUAUAGCUCAAAACUUGAAAUUUGAAUCCAUGUUCACUACCUAAAGGGAUGCAGGGAGCUUCUUCUCCAGUCGCAACUCACUGGAUAGCAUGUGAAACAGCGCAGUCCUUUCUCCAUCCUUUUUAACUAUAAACGACGUCGUAGGAUCAAGGCGAUGGUUGCCAAAAUUGUCGUGAUCCUUCCCUUACUGGGCCAGAGUGGCAAAGGGACAUUUGAUCUUAAAGAUGGGCUCAAUCAUGGUCGAACUCGUCUUUAUCUGAGGAUGGGCUGGUUGCAUUCAGCUUGAGGAAAUUUUAGACUCGGAUAAAAGCUCCAUUUGACCUUUUGCAAAAAUUUCGUGAAUGUUCGAUUAUGAUUAAGAAUAAAAUUGUUUAGUAA